rnacentral:tRNA from 1 species
GAGCCUGUAGUCUAGUGGCUAAGAUACAUGACUGGCACAUCUGAGGCUGGUGGUUCAAGUCCUAGUCCAGCCACA